AUUGAACGCUGGCGGCGUGCUUAACACAUGCAAGUCGAACGAAGUGGCGAACGGGUGAGUAACGCGUAAUCAACCUGCCCUUCAGUGGGGUACAACAGUUGGAAACGACUGCUAAUACCGCAUACUGAAGGAGGUGAUUUCGUUUGAUUAGCUAGUUGGAGGGGUAACGGCCCACCAAGGCGAUGAUCAGUAGCCAGUCAGAGAGGAUGAGCGGCCACAUUGGAACUGAGACGCGGCCCAGACUACUACGGGAGGCAGCAGUGGGGAAUCUUCCGCAAUGGACGAAAGUCUGACAGAGCAACGCCGCGUGAGUAAGGACGGCCUUCGGGUUGUAAAGCUCUGUUAAUCGGGACGCGGUACCGGAAUAGAAAGCCACGGCUAACUACGUGCCAGCAGCCGCGGUAAUAC
rnacentral:rRNA from 1 species